AACGUACGCAGCCUGCUCGUCUUCCACCUCCGGCCAACUUCCUCCCUCUACCGCGCUUCCCUCCCCACAACAGCAGACCACCGGCGCUCCCUGUUCUUCUUCCCCGUGGGCGCGCCCCCUUCAUCCAGGCAGCAGACGACGCACGCACGCCAGGAACGCCCGAGCUCUCCAUCUCUAAUCCAGCGCUCAAGGUUCCACUCCCUCUCUCCUCCAAGCGUGUGGUGUCUUCCCUGCUCCUCCAUGGUGCCCAGAUCCGGCGCGCGCCCCUGCAAAUCUUCACUAGCACACCGGGCUCCUCCCUCCUUGGUGCUCGGCCUCCAUGGAUGCACAUCACCUCCUCCCAUGGACGCCAGCAGCAGGAGCUCCUACUCCCAGGGCGCCUCUCCCCCAUCCAUGGCGUCCGACCCCCUCUCCUUUCUCCUCCCUGCUCGGAGCUCUGCUACGGCACACGCAAAUCCCUCCCCUUUUUGUGCAGCUCACCAUCCCCAGUAGCCGCAAUGUCUCCCUCUGCACCUGUCCGAUUCCAUGGAGGACGACUUCCCCAUGGGCAGGAACUCGACGCCGCCUCCCCAAGUGCAGCCAUGGCUGAGCUUUCCCUUCCCCUGCUCGGGACAAGCCCCUCCCUGCUCCAUUUUUUUCUCUCUCUGCUCUCGGCCGCUAGCAACCAGGGCAUUGGCCCCUGCUCCCUACUACUUCUCCUCUCAGCUUCCUCUCUGCAGUAGAGAGCGCAGGAAUAUGCUCGGCGCUUUAGCGCCCAGCCUUCUGUAGGAGCAGCGCACUCCUCUUCUGAAGCACCUCGCUGGCGCCCUCAUCGUCCAUCGACAACAUCCCAUGGCGCUGCUGUCCCCAUGGUCUCCCUGUUGCGAGAGUUGCCUCGUCGCACUCGUCGUCGGGCUCGAAUCGGGUGUGCGCAUUCCAUCCGCGACAGCGUCGACCCCCGCGGCGGCCUUGUACUCGCGUUGCUCCCCGAGCCGAGACCUUGCACGCAGCAGCAAGUCCCGGAUCCCCUCCGAAUCGCGUGCUUCGCUGGAUCUGUGCAGCCCCAGCUGCUACGACGUCAAAUACUGCUAGAUGUUGUCGCGGCGCCUCGCGCGACGCAUGGUUCGAUGAAGCGCCUAAACCGUGGACGCAUGCGCAACUCGAAUCCGAGUUUGACAGGACCGAGAGAUGACGAUCGUGCAAGUGAUGUGGUGCCAGCCACAAGAUGCAGUGGAUGGACGACCUGAAGAAUGAUGGACUUAUCCAGUGGAUGCUCGCCAAGCGAGUACCUCCUCAGCAAACACUACCUAAGUGUUAAAUUAAAGGACCGAGAGAUGACGAUCGUGCAAGUGAUGUGGUGCCAGCCACAAGAUGCAGUGGAUGGACGACCUGAAGAAUGAUGGACUUAUCCAGUGGAUGCUCGCCAAGUGAGUACCUCCCCAGCAAACACUACCUAAGUGUUAAAUUAAAGGUACCUCCUUGAUUUGGUUGAUGGUAUGACUUGGCCUUCAUCCCUGCCACCGGGAUAGACGGUCGAGUGGGUUACUGCUUCCGCAGGAGAGGACCAAGAGGAGUAGAGUGGCCAGGCUUCGCCAUGUUACUCGGUUCUUCUCCGUUAGUUAUUUCCGCU
rnacentral:misc_RNA from 1 species